rnacentral:lncRNA from 1 species
CCUACGUUUACGGCUCAUCGGCACCAUGUUGGUCAAGUGUCUAUCUAAAUGCUGUUGCUGGCCACUAAGCAGCAAUGGCACAUAUUAAACAACAGCCAUCACCUGAAGGGCUCUCUUUCACGGCCUAGCGGCAGCAUUGCUCAGGAUUCUAAGCCUUAAAAGACCCAUCAGGAGCUGUAGCCUGGUACAAUAUUUUACCACCAGAUGGAUGGGAGCAGUGAUGAAUGAACGAAUCACAGAG